rnacentral:rRNA from 1 species
AUUGAACGCUGGCGGCAGGCCUAACACAUGCAAGUCGAGCGAGCGGCGGACGGGUGAGUAAUGUAUGGGGACUGCCCGAUGGAGGGGGCUAACUACUGGAAACGGUGGCUAAUACCGCAUACUAUCGGAUAACCCAUAUGGGAUUAGCUAGUAGGGGGGGUAAAGGCUCACCUAGGCGACGAUCCAUAGCUGGUCUGAGAGGAUGAUCAGCAACGCUGGAACUGCGACACGGUCCAGACGCCUACGGAGGCAGCAGUGGGGAAUAUUGCACGAUGGGCGCAAGCCUGAUGCAGCCAUGCCGCGUGUAUGAAGAAGGCCUUAGGGUUGUAAAGUACUUUCAGCGGGGAGGCGUUACCCGCAGAAGAAGCACCGGCUAACUCCGUGCCAGCAGCCGCGGUAAUUC